rnacentral:rRNA from 1 species
UGGGGAAAUUUGCACAAUGGGGGAAACCCUGAUGCAGCGACGCCGCGUGAUUUAGAAGGCCUUCGGGUUGUAAAAAUCUUUUCUAUGGGAAGAAAAUGACAGUACCAUGGGAAUAAGGACCGGCUAAUUACGUGCCAGCAGCCGCGGUAAUACGUAAGGUCCGAGCGUUGUCCGGAAUCAUUGGGCGUAAAGGGUACGUAGGCGGGUAAGCAAGUUAGAAGUGAAAUCCUAUAGCUCAACUAUAGUAAGCUUUUAAAACUGCUCAUCUUGAGGUAUGGAAGGGAAAGUGGAAUUCCUAGUGUAGCGGUGAAAUGCGCAGAUAUUAGGAGGAAUACCGGUGGCGAAGGCGACUUUCUGGCCAUAACCUGACGCUGAGGUACGAAAGCGUGGGUAGCAAACAGG